rnacentral:misc_RNA from 1 species
GCAGUGAUUCCUCAAGAAUUAAGGUAUUUAUUUUGUACAUUCUUUUUUAUUGUGCUUUUGAAGGUGAUAAAGGUUGUUACUCUCCUUUGAGAUUUGUUUAGGGAAUUGAAAUCAUGUUUCAGAUUUAUUUGUGCGUGUGUAUUUUUGGAAGUCUGGCAUGUCUGCCUGCAUUUCCUAAUAUCUAUUUGGCUGCAGCUCUUUUUUGUCCUUCCUCUUGGAUUAAAACUUUAGUGUAUCAGUUGCAGCCAACAACUAUUGGUUGGUCAUAUCCGAGCUUUUUUCCAAAAGGAAGGAUUUGAAAAG